rnacentral:rRNA from 1 species
GAUGAACGCUGGCGGCGUGCCUAAUACAUGCAAGUCGAGCGAACAGACGAGGAGCUUGCUCCUUUGACGUUAGCGGCGGACGGGUGAGUAACACGUGGGUAACCUACCUAUAAGACUGGGAUAACUUCGGGAAACCGGAGCUAAUACCGGAUAAUAUUUCGAACCGCAUGGUUCGAUAGUGAAAGAUGGCUUUGCCAUCACUUAUAGAUGGACCUGCGCCGUAUUAGCUAGUUGGUAAGGUAACGGCUUACCAAGGCAACGAUACGUAGCCGACCUGAGAGGGUGAUCGGCCACACUGGAACUGAGACACGGUCCAGACUCCUACGGGAGGCAGCAGUAGGGAAUCUUCCGCAAUGGGCGGAAGCCUGACGGAGCAACGCCGCGUGAGUGAUGAAGGUCUUCGGAUCGUAAAACUCUGUUAUUAGGGAAGAACAAACGUGUAAGUAACUGUGCACGUCUUGACGGUACCUAAUCAGAAAGCCACGGCUAACUACGUG